AUUGAACGCUGGCGGCAGGUCUAACACAUGCAAGUCGAGCGGAUGAGAGGAGCUUGCUUCUCGAUUCAGCGGCGGACGGGCGAGUAAUGCCUAGGAAUCUGCCUGGUAGUGGGGGACAACGUUUCGAAAGGAACGCUAAUACCGCAUACGUCCUACGGGAGAAAGCAGGGGACCUUCGGGCCUCGCGCUAUCAGAUGAGCCUAGGUCGGAUUAGCUAGUUGGUGAGGUAAUGGCUCACCAAGGCGACGAUCCGUAACUGGUCUGAGAGGAUGAGCAGUCACACUGGAACUGAGACACGGUCCAGACUCCUACGGGAGGCAGCAGUGGGGAAUAUUGGACAAUGGGCGAAAGCCUGAUCCAGCCAUGCCGCGUGUGUGAAGAAGGUCUUCGGAUUGUAAAGCACUUUAAGUUGGGAGGAAGGGUUGUAGAUUAAUACUCUGCAAUUUUGACGUUACCGACAGAAUAAGCACCGGCUAACUCUGUGCCAGCCGCCGCCGUAACAC
rnacentral:rRNA from 1 species